GACGAACGCUGGCGGCGUGCUUAACACAUGCAAGUCGAACGGUAAGGCCCUUCGGGGUACACGAGUGGCGAACGGGUGAGUAACACGUGGGAGAUCUGCCCUGCACUUCGGGAUAAGCCUGGGAAACUGGGUCUAAUACCGGAUAGGACCACUGCCUGCAUGGGUGGUGGUGGAAAGCUUUUGCGGUGUGGGAUGGGCCCGCGGCUUAUCAGCUUGUUGGUGGGGUGAUGGCCUACCAAGGCGACGACGGGUAGCCGGCCUGAGAGGGUGACCGGCCACACUGGGACUGAGAUACGGCCCAGACUCCUACGGGAGGCAGCAGUGGGGAAUAUUGCACAAUGGGCGCAAGCCUGAUGCAGCGACGCCGCGUGAGGGAUGACGGCCUUCGGGUUGUAAACCUCUUUCAGCACCGACGAAGCGCAAGUGACGGUAGGUGCAGAAGAAGGACCGGCCAACUACGUGCCAGCCGCCGCCGUAA
rnacentral:rRNA from 1 species